rnacentral:rRNA from 1 species
UACGGAGGGGGCCAGCGUUGUUCGGAAUCAUUGGGCGUAAAGCGCGUGUAGGCGGCCCGGUAAGUCCGCUGUGAAAGUCGAGGGCUCAACCCUCGAAUGCCGGUGGAUACUGUCGGGCUAGAGUACGGAAGAGGCGAGUGGAAUUCCUGGUGUAGCGGUGAAAUGCGCAGAUAUCAGGAGGAACACCCAUUGCGAAGGCAGCUCGCUGGGACGUUACUGACGCUGAGACGCGAAAGCGUGGGGAGCAAACAGG